UACGUAGGGGGCAAGCGGUUGUCCGGAUUUAUUGGGCGUAAAGAGCGUGUAGGCGGCCAAGCAGGUCCGCUGUGAAAACUCGAGGCUCAACCUCGAGCGUCGGUGGAAACCGUUUGGUGCUAGAGUCCGGAAGAGGAGAGUGGAAUUCCUGGUGUAGCGGUGAAAUGCGCAGAUAUCAGGAAGAACACCCGUGGCGGAAGGCGGCUCUCUGGGACGGUACUGACGCUGAGACGCGAAAGCGUGGGGGAGCAAACAGG
rnacentral:rRNA from 1 species